rnacentral:rRNA from 1 species
CCUACGGGAGGCAGCAGUGAGGAAUAUUGGUCAAUGGACGAGAGUCUGAACCAGCCAAGUAGCGUGAAGGAUGACUGCCCUCUGGGUUGUAAACUUCUUUUGUAAAGGAAUAAAACGAGGCACGUGUGCCUUUUUGCAUGUACUUUAUGAAUACGGAUCGGCUAACUCCGUUCCAGCAGCCGCGGUACUACGGAGGAUCCGAGCGUUAACCGGAUGUAUUGGGUUUAAAGGGAUCGGAGAUGGGUUGUUAAGUUAGUUGUGAAAGUUUGCGGCUCAACCGGAAAAUUGCAAUUGAUACUGGCAGUCUUGAGUACAGUUGAGGUAGGCGGAAUGCGUGGUGUAGCGGUGAAAUGCUUAGAUAUCACGAAGAACCCCGAUUGCGAAGGCAGCUUACUAAACUGUGACUGACAUUGAUGCGCGAAAGCGUGGGUAUCAAACAGGAUUAGAUACCCGAGUAGUC